AUGGGGAGCCUGGACGUCACCCCUCACAUGGCAAAACGCCCCUCCCGUCCCUGGUGGAGUCAAAGGACGCGUUUUGGUGUUCCCACUGACUUCCAGGAAGGACGGGAGCUCAGUCAAACAGGUUGGUACUGGGGAAGUGUGACUGUUAAUGAAGCCAAAGAGAAGUUAAAAGAGGCACCAGAAGGAACUUGCUUGAUUAGAGAUAGUUCGCAUUCAGACUACCUACUAACAGUAUCUGUUAAAACGUCAGCUGGACCAACUAAUCUGCAAAUUGAAUACCACGAUGGGAAAUUCAGAUUGGACUCUAUCAUAUGUGUCAAGUCCAAACUUAAACAAUUUGACAGUGUGGUUCAUCUGAUCGACUAAUACAUGCAGACGUGCCAGGAUAAGCGGAGGGCCCAGAAGCCCCCCGGAACGGCACUGUUCACCUUUAUCUGACCAACCUUCUCUACACUUCAGCACCACCUCUGCAGCAUCUGUGUAGACUCACCGUUCACAAAUGUACUGGUGCCAUCUGGGGACUGCCUUUACCAACAAGACUAAAAGAUUACUUGGAAGAAUAUAAAUUCCAGGUAUAAGUGUUUCUCUUUUUCUAAACAUGCCUCACAUUAGAGUAUCUCCGAAUGCAGCUAUAUAAAAGAGAACCAAAACUUGAGUGACUGCUCUGGAUAACUACACGGAAUUCUAAGAACAGCUGAAGUCAAUCUAAUUUAAAUGUGUGAUGAGGUAGCUAGGUAUUUAAAGUUCCCCCAAAUAUUUUCACCUGAGUAAUGCUUCCCUUCCUAAGACUGACCAAGACUAGUUGAUCCUUUUAAGUUAAAAAUUAAAUGUCCCAAGUAAAGGCUGAAGUAACAUUUUAUCAGAAUGCCUGGCCUUUCUGAGGUUCCUUUCUUUUUGGUGGAAGGUCUAGUAG